rnacentral:rRNA from 1 species
CGAUCAGUAGGGGUUCUGAGAGGGAGGUCCCCCACAUUGGAACUGAGACACGGUCCAAACUCCUACGGGAGGCAGCAGUGAGGAAUAUUGGUCAAUGGACGAGAGUCUGAACCAGCCAAGUAGCGUGCAGGAAGACGGCCCUAUGGGUUGUAAACUGCUUUUAUAAGGGAAUAAAGUGAGAGUCGUGACUCUUUUUGCAUGUACCUUAUGAAUAAGGACCGGCUAAUUCCGUGCCAGCAGCCGCGGUAAUACGGAAGGUCCGGGCGUUAUCCGGAUUUAUUGGGUUUAAAGGGAGCGUAGGCCGGAGAUUAAGCGUGUUGUGAAAUGUAGACGCUCAACGUCUGCACUGCAGCGCGAACUGGUUUCCUUGAGUACGCACAAAGUGGGCGGAAUUCGUGGUGUAGCGGUGAAAUGCUUAGAUAUCACGAAGAACUCCGAUUGCGAAGGCAGCUCACUGGAGCGCAACUGACGCUGAAGCUCGAAAGUGCGGGUAUCGAACAGGAUUAGAUACCCUGGUAGUCCGCACGGUAAACGAUGGAUGCCCGCUGUUGGUCUGAAUAGGUCAGCGGCCAAGCGAAAGCAUUAAGCAUCCCACCUGGGGAGUACGCCGGCAACGGUGAAACUCAAAGGAAUUGACGGGGGCCCGCACAAGCGGAGGAACAUGUGGUUUAAUUCGAUGAUACGCGAGGAACCUUACCCGGGCUUGAAUUGCAGAGGAAGGAUUUGGAGGCAAUGACGCCCUUCGGGGCCUCUGUGAAGGUGCUGCAUGGUUGUCGUCAGCUCGUGCCGUGAGGUGUCGGCUUAAGUGCCAUAGCGAGCGCAACCCCUCUCCUUAGUUGCCAUCAGGUUAAGCUGGGCACUCUGGGGACACUGCCACCGUAAGGUGUGAGGAAGGUGGGGAUGACGUCAAAUCAGCACGGCCCUUACGUCCGGGGCUACACACGUGUUACAAUGGCAGGUACAGAGAGACGGUCCCUUGCAAAACGGAUCAAAUCCUUAAAGCCUGUCUCAGUUCGGACUGGGGUCUGCAACCCGACCCCACGAAGCUGGAUUCGCUAGUAAUCGCGCAUCAGCCAUGGCGCGGUGAAUACGUUCCCGGGCCUUGUACACACCGCCCGUCAAGCCAUGAAAGCCGGGGGCGCCUAAAGUCCGUGACCGUAAGGAGCGGCCUAGGGCGAAACUGGUAAUUGGGGCUAAGUCGUAACAAGGUA